GGCUGGUUCUUUAAAUAUGGCAGAGCCAAACCGCUGCACCUCUGAGGUGGCCAUUUUGUAGCUGCACCUUCCUUCCCUUCCAGCUGAACACUGUUCUUGCCUCGUGUAACCGGAUCCACACACUGGAGCAAGGAGGCAGCCGAAACAUAAAGUGUCAGACCCUUCUUGGAAGGCCCCAGAGAGCCAGAUCACAGGAUUAACCAGACACGCUAACAGUUGGAGCAGCUCCUAAAUAUAAAAAGAUUUAGAAGGCAAAGCGCCAUUUCUUCAGCCCAGGGUCAAGGCAUCUCCCAGACCUGUGCCAGACUGAACUUUUGCCUGCCCAGUUCAAACUGCUGCUAGAGGAGGUGUCUACUAGACAAGCUCUGGGUUUGUGGGCCUCCCAUUCUAAUUUGACUAGAUACCCUUUGUGCAGGAUAAGUAACAUAGAACUGGCUGAAAUUCUAUAUCUGCACAGUAGUUUAUGUGCUGGAGAUUACUUCACAAAAUCAGGAUGUACCAAGAGGACUUUGCAUAAGAAGGGGGAUAUUUUUUUUAAAGUUAACGUGAAUCAUCAACUUUAUCACCCUUCCUUCUGU